rnacentral:rRNA from 1 species
UACGUAGGGUGCGAGCGUUGUCCGGAAUUAUUGGGCGUAAAGAGCUCGUAGGCGGUGUGUCACGUCGGCCGUGAAAACCUGCAGCUUAACUGUGGGCGUGCGGUCGAUACGGGCAUCACUGGAGUUCGGCAGGGGAGACUGGAAUUCCUGGUGUAGCGGUGAAAUGCGCAGAUAUCGGGAGGAACACCGGUGGCGAAGGCGGCUACCUGGACGGCUAUUGACGCUGAGACGCGAAAGCGUGGGGAGCAAACAGG